rnacentral:tRNA from 1 species
UGGUGGCUCAGUGGUUAGAGCAUUGACCUGCUCAUCAAAGGGUCAAGGGUUCGAUUCCUUGUCA